GGCUUUGUUUGAACACUUCUAGUAUAUAUAUUAGCUAAAUUGUGUCAGAUAUAUGGUUACAGAUGAUACUGUUGUGACAAGAAUUCUAAAUUAACCAUUUGAGGCAGAAAAUGCGUUCUUUAAUUGACAAAUAGACAUACAGUAAGAUGUGGACUGGAGACAGAGGCUGGAUUGAAUACUUUAUAUAAUCUUGAAUGUUGUAAUGAUUGACUGCUAAACAUUACAUUUAUAGUGAUC
rnacentral:lncRNA from 1 species